GAAGGGUUAGGGCUCAGAGGAAAUUUGGUGAUCAGAUCCAUGGGGGAGAAGAACUCUACAGGGAUGACCAAUACAAAUAAACCUGUACGCCCCUGAAAGACCAGGCCUGUUUUUUUCUCAUCGGGGAUGUCUGUCUUUAUUAGAGAAUAACUCUGGAAAUUUUGGAAUUUUUCACCAUGAAAUGAUGCAAGUAUCAAAGAAAAUGUACCACUACGAGAAAGAAGAAUAUGUCACAAAAAACAAUGUCUGAAUCAAAUUCAUAAGUAAGAGCAUCCCAGAGUUAUUAAUACUUAAAGUGACAGUGGUCAGAUGUGCAAAAAAUACUCUGGUCCUUAAAGGGAUACUCCAGUGGAAACUUUUUUUUAAAUCAACUGGUGCCAGAAAGUUAAAAAGAUUUGUAAAUUAAUCUUUCUAGUGCUUAUCAGCUGCUGUAUAAUACAAAGGAAGUUCUUUUCUGUCUGACCACAGGGCUUUCUGCUGACACCUCUGUCCAUGUCAGGAACUGUCCAGAGCAGCAUAUGUUUGCUAUGGGGAUUUGCUCCUGCUCUGGAUAGUUCCUGACAUGGACAGAGGUGUCAGCAGAGAGCACUCUGGUCAGACUGAAAAGAAAUUCAGAAAGAAAAGAAGUUACUGUGGAGCAUAUAGCAUCUGAUAAAUACUGGAAGGAUUAAGAUUUUUAAAUAGAAGUAAUUUACAAAUCUGUUUAACUUUCUGGCACCAGUUGAUAAGGUUAACACAUCUAAACAGAAUAUAGCAGACUACAAUUGCAAUUGAAGAAUGUGAUAGUACGGUAAGUUUAUGGUUUAACAUUUAUAUGAAUUGAGUUAAAUGGGCACUGUCAUUAAAACAAAUUUUUGCUACUGCAUUCCUUAUGGCAAAUAAAAAAAUCUUUCUAAAUGUACUUUAUUUAACCCCUUAAGGACCAAGCGUUUUUCCACUUUCAUUUUUUAUUCAUUACCUUUUAGAAAUCAUAACGCUUUCCAUUGUGCACAUAAAAAUACAUAUGAUGGCUUAUUUUUUUUGCACCACCAAUUCUUCUUUGUAAUGACAUCAGUCAUUUUACCCAAAAAUCUGCAGUGCAAAAAAUAAAAAAAACAUUGUGUGACAAAAGAAAAAAAAAACAUUUUGUAAAUUUUGGGGGCUUCCGUUUCCAAGCAGUACAUUUUUCAGCAAAAAUGAUACCCUACUUCUAUAGGUUUGAUUUUGUCGUACUUCUGGAAAAAAUCAUAACUACAUGCACGAAAAUACGUUUAAAAUGGUCAUCUUCUGACCCCUAUAACUUUAUUUUUACGUGUACGGGGCAAUAUGAGGGCUAAUUUUUUUUGCGCUGUGAUCUGAAGUCUUUAGCAGUACCAUUUUUGUAUUGAUCAGACUUUUUGAUCGCUUUUUAUUAAAUUAUUUCAUUAUAUAAAAAGUAACCAAAAAUACACUAUUUUGGAAUUUUUUGCGCGUACGCCUUUGACCGUGCGGUUUAAUUAACUAUAUAUUUUUAUAGUUCGGACAUUUUCGCAUGCGGCGAUACCAUGUUUAUUUUUAUUAUGGUUACAUAUUUUUAAUAUGGAAUUUGGGAAAAGGGGGGUGAUUUAAAAACUUUUAAUUAGGAAGGGGUUAAUUUUUUUUAUUUUUUAUUUUUUUUAUAACUUUUUAGUCCCUUAGGGGACUUUUAGGAGGAACCAUUAGAGUCCUCAUACAGAUCAAUAUGGUUUCAUAGAACUACAUUGAUCUGUGUGCUCUGUGCUCAAUUGAUAAAGCCUGGUCCUGCCAGCCUUUAUCAUUCACAGUGCAGCAGCCGGCAUAGGACAUGAGGUAAGCCCUCCAGCUACCUAAGCAGUGGAUCGCCCCCUUGCGAUGGUUUAAAUGUCCCUUUAGACACCACUGUGAACUUUUGACAGGGUUAAUAACCUGCCGCGGCAAUCGCCGUAUGUCGGCUAUUAACCCUGGCCCUCAGCUACAGGAAUCGGCUGGGGGCCGGCCGGUAUGACGCGGGCUCAAGUCAGGAGCCUGCGCCAUACAACGGUUGCAGUCUCAGGAUGUGCCAGCUUGUCCUUAGACGGCAACAGGUUUAAAAAAAAUAAUUUAAUUUUCUGUGUUUAAUUUGUGUUUAAAAAAGCUGCCACUAGGUGUCUCCCUACUUGUCCAGAACACAUUUCCCGCCAUCCCUUGCACAGACUGAACUCCUGCUGGCCUGGCAGAAGUCCAAAAGCAGGAAAUGCUGAGGGGUGUGUGUGCAGCCUUAUCCAAUCAGAGCUCAUCUCACACACUGAACUGCUCUGGGCUGUGUGUACCAGAGUGAGGGAGGAAGUUCUACCCUGUAUGGCUUCAGAUUAUGUCACACCUGCUGGGGAACCUCUCUCCCCAGUCUGUGAAUCUGACUGAGACUGAGCAGAAAAUACAGAGCAAUAUCAAGGUAGAAAACUAACAAAUAAUAAAAAUAAAGGCAGGGGGUGGUUUAUCAUGAUGGGGGCAGUGAACUUGGAGGAUUUUAACAUUUAAAAAGAUCAUGAGAGGUACUCUUUAAUUGACAUUA